AACCGCCGUGUACGGAACCGUACGCACGGUGGUGUGGGAGGACGGGGAAGGCGACUUCCCCUCCUACCCGAU
rnacentral:ncRNA from 1 species